GUGAGGUAAUGGCUCACCAAGGCUAUGACGGGUAGCCGGCCUGAGAGGGUGACCGGCCACACUGGGACUGAGACACGGCCCAGACUCCUACGGGAGGCAGCAGUGGGGAAUAUUGGACAAUGGGCGAAAGCCUGAUCCAGCAACGCCGCGUGAGGGAUGAAGGCCUUCGGGUUGUAAACCGCUUUCAGGAGGGAAGAAAAUGACGGUACCUCCAGAAGAAGGUGCGGCCAACUACGUGCCAGCAGCCGCGGUGACACGUAGGCGCCAAGCGUUAUCCGGAUUUAUUGGGCGUAAAGAGCUCGUAGGCGGUUUGGUAAGUCGGGUGUGAAAACUCUGGGCUCAACCCAGAGAGGCCACUCGAUACUGCUAUGACUAGAGUACGGUAGGGGAGCGGGGAAUUCCUGGUGUAGCGGUGAAAUGCGCAGAUAUCAGGAGGAACACCAGCGGCGAAGGCGCCGCUCUGGGCCGUAACUGACGCUGAGGAGCGAAAGCAUGGGUAGCAAACAGGAUUAGAUACCCUGGUAGUCCAUGCCGUAAACGUUGGGCACUAGGUGUGGGUCUCAACCAACGAGAUCCGCGCCGUCGCUAACGCAUUAAGUG
rnacentral:rRNA from 1 species